UUUCCGUAGGUGAACCUGCGGAAGGAUCAUUCAUAAUAAGUGUUUUAUGGCACUUUUUUAAAUCCAUAUCCACCUUGUGUGCAAUGUCAGGGUUGAUUUUUCUCUCGAGAGGAUCAGCCCCAAACAUCAACUAUAUCUCAACUCUUUGUCUGAAAAUAUUAUGAAUAAAACGAUUCAAAAUACAACUUUCAACAACGGAUCUCUUGGCUCUC
rnacentral:misc_RNA from 1 species